rnacentral:lncRNA from 1 species
UGGCUCUACCUCAGGCUCAGGGCGUUGUAUGAGCGACACAGGUCAAAUACAGUCGAGCGGCAGUUGGGGGAACUUGUCUUUUCUGGAAUUUUCCGACAACAGCUGUCUGGAUCCAGCCGCUCAGUUUCGAUUUCGUGAUAAUGGUGCCAUGUUGAAUCUAAAAAGACAGGGAUGUCUCGCUGCUUUUCAUAGGAAUGGUUCUCGUUAUGAUCUUGAUAUGUUUUAUCUUUAUGUCGACUCAGUCAGUUUAGACACAGCUGCUUGUGCUCAGAAACCUAACGAGAGCAUCUAUCGUGCUAUAACCCAGACCCCCAAGGGAGGAUUAUCUAUUUAUCAUAAAGGGAAAGAUGAGAGUUCAUUUCAAACCUGGGGUGCAUAUUAUACAUAUAAUUCACAUCUUCUGAGAAAUUAUGGAAUAAAUCGCCACAUGGGAUUGACGAAACGAUCCACUGAUUA